GAUGAAGAACGUAGCGAAAUGCGAUAAGUAAUGUGAAUUGCAGAAUUCAGUGAAUCAUCGAAUCUUUGAACGCACAUUGCGCCCCCUGGUAUUCCGGGGGGCAUGCCUGUCCGAGCGUCAUUACAACCCUCAAGCUCAGCUUGGUGUUGGGCCCCGCCGCCCCGGCGGGCCCUAAAGUCAGUGGCGGUGCCGUCCGGCUCCGAGCGUAGUAAUUCUUCUCGCUCUGGAGGUCCGGUCGUGUGCUCGCCAGCAACCCCCAAUUUUUUUCAGGUUGACCUCGGAUCAGGUAGGGAUACCCGCUGAACUUAAGCAUAUCAAUAAGGGAGGA
rnacentral:misc_RNA from 1 species